GAAGGUAUAGCUCAGUGGUAGAGUACAUGCUUAGCAUGCACAAGGUCCUGGGUUCAAUCCCCAGUACUUCCA
rnacentral:tRNA from 1 species